rnacentral:rRNA from 1 species
AUUGAGCGCUGGCGGCAGGCUUUACACAUGCAAGUCGAGCGGAGAGAGGUAGCUUGCUACUGAUCUUAGCGGCGGACGGGUGAGUAAUGCUUAGGAAUCUGCCUAUUAGUGGGGGACAACAUUUCGAAAGGAAUGCUAAUACCGCAUACGUCCUACGGGAGAAAGCAGGGGAUCUUCGGACCUUGCGCUAAUAGAUGAGCCUAAGUCGGAUUAGCUAGUUGGUGGGGUAAAGGCCUACCAAGGCGACGAUCUGUAGCGGGUCUGAGAGGAUGAGCCGCCACACUGGGACUGAAACACGGCCCAGACUCCUACGGGAGGCAGCAGUGGGGAAUAUUGGACAAUGGGCGCAAGCCUGAUCCAGCCAUGCCGCGUGUGUGAAGAAGGCCUUAUGGUUGUAAAGCACUUUAAGCGAGGAGGAGGCUACUUUAGAUAAUACCUAGAGAUAGUGGACGUUACUCGCAGAAUAAGCACCGGCUAACUCUGUGCCAGCAGCCGCAGUAA